UGGGGGGUGAGUAGCAGUUGGUAGCUCGUCAGGUUCAUAUCCUGAAGGUCGAGGGUUCAAGUCCCUCUCCCCCAACUA
rnacentral:tRNA from 1 species